CAAAUAGCGUAAUGUUCAGCCUCCGAUAUCGUGCUGUAACRGGGAUUAAACUCACCGUGCAGAGCUAUUACUGGGACCUCUCUGCAGAGUUUAGCAUGGUUGACCAUGAAAUCCUCCUGUCCAACAUGAGCUAGGUGGCAGGAGUCCAAGUAAUGGAAUUCAACCUCAUUGGCAGCUGGACUCAAGACCCUAGCAAUUUGCAGAUGAUACCCAGCCAUGUGUAUUUGUUACCAUCUAUGACUACUACAUCAUCAGCUCUGCUACUGCAAAGGUGAUCAAAUAAUUGUAGGAGAUUAAGUAAACUGAAGUGAGCUAGAUUAUGUUAUGUUUCCG
rnacentral:lncRNA from 1 species